rnacentral:snRNA from 1 species
CUGGUACGGACAAGGGGAA